AAUUGGAGGGCAAGUCUGGUGCCAGCAGCCGCGGUAAUUCCAGCUCCAAUAGCGUAUAUUAAAGUUGUUGCAGUUAAAAAGCUCGUAGUUGAAUUUCGGGAUCAAUAUUUCGGUCAUGCCGUUGGUAUGCACUGUUAUCAUUGAUUUCUCACCUUCUAAAGAACCGUAAUGCCAUUAAUUUGGUGUUACGGGGAAUUAGGACUGUUACCUUGAAAAAAUUAGAGUGUUUAAAGCAGGCUCACGCUUGAAUACAUUAGCAUGGAAUAAUGAAAUAGGACAUCCGAUUCUAUUUUGUUGGUUUCUAGGAUCGAUGUAAUGAUUAAUAGGGAUAGUUGGGGGCAUUAGUAUUCAAUUGUCAGAGGUGAAAUUCUUGGAUUUAUUGAAGACUAACUACUGCGAAAGCAUUUGCCAAGGAUGUUUUCACUAAUCAAGAACGAAAGUUAGGGGAUCGAAGACGAUCAGAUACCGUCGUAGUCUUAACCAUAAACUAUGCCGACUAGGGAUCGGAUGAUGUUAAUUUUUUAAUGACUCAUUCGGCGCCUUACGGGAAACCAAAGUGU
rnacentral:rRNA from 1 species